AGGGCUUCUUCAUCCUCAUGUUUGGAACAAUCCUGGAUCCAAAGAUAAGAGAAGCCUUAAAGAGUCGAGUGAUGUCUGCCAAAUGGGCCUCCAGAGCAUCAGAGGAUCUUUCUUCUGAAUUCUCUUGUCAUCCUACCAAAGGGCCAAGCUAACAAAGUAGCAUGCAUCCCCACCAUGGGAGGUUGCUCAUUCCUGGAAUGGCAGUGCCUGAGGAAGCAUGCACUUGAUUCCUGUCCUCUUGCCACUGAGUACUUUGAAGGAAGCCUCUACCCUGCAGAGCUGAUGGAGGGGGUGACAUGUGGAAGGCCCCUCUGUCAAAGCUGUUCUGUGCUUCUAAACAUGUCUUGCCCACCAACUGCAAAUCUACAUACGACACACUAAGCAUCUGCAAGGGACAAGAAGACAAAGUGGGUAUCAACAACAGUGUCUCACUGGUGCCUCCACCUCCACACGGCUGGGUCAUAUUUAUCGUCAGGGAGAAAGCUUGGCAUUUCUCAGCAACGGUGGCCUAGGAUGCAGUGUGUUGGAUUCUAAAGGAGAGUUCUCAAGAAGAGUCUCCAACAGUCGGACUGACUCUAAGUAGCUCACAGCUGGCUCUGUGCAGAAGGGCGCCUCCUGCCAGUGUACUCUACUUUUUCAAAAUCAAACCGAUUAGAUGGUCAAGUCUGGCUGGGGCCUGAAUGCAACUUCUUGGACUGUGAACCAAGAGAAAACUCUAGAGUGUUGGAAUUGGACACGAUGCCUGUUUUAAGAUGCAGUGGAAACCUGGAACUGUGAGUCACGGCUCUGCUAACCUGGGCCAACUCUGUUGGCUUCCAGGGCUUCACUUUGUAGGCAGAAGUUUCUGUCACACCUGGUUCUGCAGCCGUUUAGUCCCAAAUAAACACACAGAGGCUUAUAUAAUCUAUAAAUUGUUUGGCCUAUUAGAUCAGGAUUAUUAUUAACUAGCUCUUACAACUUAAAUCAACCCAGUUCUUAUCGAUGUUUAGCCAUGUGGCUUAGUAUCUUUUCUCAGUAGGGCAUUCUCAUCUUGCUUCCUCUGUGCCUGGCUUGUGACUGCAUCUCUCCUUUUCUCUUCCCA